ensembl:lncRNA
GCAAUUUUCUAAGCCUGCGGAGCUCCUCAGGGCAGGAACCACGGCAUUCCUCCCACAUGUGCUUGGCAUAAGGUGCAGCUUCACAGCAGCAAGCCCAGCAACAGGAGCCAAGGAUUCUUAACCAUUUGAAUUUAGGUACAUGUUGUCAUUCACUGUCUCAGAACGACAACUUAGUGACUAUGGACAAACGAUUCAAGUGCACCAAACCUCACCUGGAGGUGGGGGAGGGGUGGCAAGAGAAAAAUGAGCACUUCCUUUCUGAUUCCAACAUGGAAAAAGUGGGGAAAAUAGGGCUGGGCAGGGCUUGCAGAUCUCAGGCCGCUUACUGGGUGCGUAGUACACAGAUAAAUGUUAUUUCUGGCAACUGCUCCUCCAAUCUAUUUUUAAAGGCAUAAAUAUAAGGGGACCCACACUGUUCCUGUCUGGACCUCUCCCUGCCUGGAUCUCUCCACGCCUUUUUCAAAAUCAUCUUCUAGGAAACUUUGUAGCCAAAUUUUAGACUCCGACAUUGGUGGUGUUUGUAUCACAUUGCUCUCCUAAAAGGAAAAAAGAAACAAAAACCACUGACUCAACACUAUCAAAUGCCAAUCAAAACACACACAGACAAAAAUAUUAAUUUGCAUGAAGCUACAUAACACAUAACCUUACUCUCACCUCUGAAAAUCAAAGUAGGUCAAAAAGUUCCUGCUGCCAGUAAGUGGAGUUGAUAAGUGUUUUUUAAAAGCUAAAAUAAUAAGCAGCUAAAGCAUAAUUCAGCACUGUUCAACUACAGCUCGCCAAUGAAAUGUUGAGGAAACAACCCUGGGACCACACAACUACGUAAGCAGAUGAGCGCCUCACUACUUGCUGGGAGAGAUCCUUACUCACUUCAGUCUUGUAUCCCAAAACCCAUUCAAAUACUGACUUUGAUGAUUCUGCUGCCUUCAGAUUAUGCUGUCCUGCACUGCACUGUUGCAAGCAUAAGGAAUCAAUCUACCAAGGUGGAAAAAAUAUUUCCAAGAUACAAAAAUAUAAUGUUUGUUACUUCAAGAUACAGCAGUAUCUUAGUCUGUUAGUCUGGUUUUGAAGCCAAGAAUGUUAAUAUGUUGCUUGCUAUUUCCUACCACACUGAGUCAGUUCAUGGCUGUGUAUGCAUUCACAAAGUGUUUCAAAGCUGUUCUCCAUGCUUCUUAGUACGUGCUUUCUUGAGAUGAAACCUCUUUUUAAAGGGAAAUCUCUCAGAACACAACCGAGCACCUGACUCUGCACUGCUGCAAUCAGAUAGUUGCCUUAAUAUUUAC